CUUUCCCCAUUGUGUGUUCUUGGUGCCCAUGUUGAAAAUUAGUUGACCAUAUAUACUCGGGUUUAUUUCUGGGCUCUAUUCUUUCCGUUGGUCUAUAUGUCUGUUUUUAUGCCAGAGCCAUACUGUGUUGACUUGCUGUACUUUUGAAGCACAUGCAUUCUGGGGUUCUGUUCCCAGAUCUCUUAAAUUGAGGAAGCAGAACAUGACUCAUCCCUGCCUUCCUGGCAUCCGGAGGGGGCUCCAGGAAAGUUGUGGCAUCCAGUUAGCCGCUUCCACGUGAGUCCCAGUCCUGCUGACAUGUAAGCCUGUCCCCAGUGUCGCUGAGCCAGCUGCUGUUCUCUCCACAUCAGCACUUACAGCAGCCACGGCUCAGAGCACUUCCACCUGGAAGGAGAGUGUCUGUCUGAGAUACCAGUUCUGUUUGCCCCAGAACGACCUCAGGAGGUGAGGA
rnacentral:lncRNA from 10 species